rnacentral:lncRNA from 1 species
ACAUUUUUAUAUAUAUAUGGAAAAACUUCAAAUACCACCUAUGUGGUUUUGUAUUUUUUUUAUUUUAAUACCUUAUAGUUUAAAGUGUAUCAAUUUAGUAUCCUGUAGUUUUGCACACUACAACAAAAACGGUAUAUAGCGACACUUUUAAAUGUAGGUACAUGUCAAAAAAGUGCUGCUAGCUAAAAUUACCGACACUUUUAAAAAGUGUUGCUAUAUGUGGGGUCGCUAAAUAUAUAGUGACAGUUAAAGAGUGUCGCUAUAACCUAAAAGAGUGCUGCUAAUUUACCAACACUUAUUUAAGUAUUUAGCAACCGCCGAAACUCUAUCUCGUUGGCUGCGGUGGCGGAGAAGGACGGCAGUAAAGGCUCUUCGUCUAGAAUUUCAGUGGAUUGAGUGAAGAGAGAAGAAAAAAUGGUAAUUGAUUUUUCUUCUUUUUUUUUUUCUGUUUGUAAUCGGGCCAAAUGGACUGGGUGUAGUGGGUUGAGUAGAGUAAUCUUUUAUUUUUGGUUGGAUUGAGCUUUAUAUUUAGGCAUUAGUAGAUGUAUUUUUAAGUUUUAGCAUAAAUGAGACACUUACUCAAAAGUGUCCCAAACAUAUGUCCCUAUAAUCUAAUUCUGUUGUAGUGGCACUUCUCAUUUUAGUACCAUGUGAUUUAAUGUGCAUCAAUUUAGUAUCCUGUGAUUUCAUUUUUCUGAUCUUUUCGUCGGCUCCUCUGUUAAUAUUUCAUUAAAUUAUAUAUAAAAAACUUCAGAUACUCUAUCUAGGUUUGUCGAAUAUUUACUUUAGUAUCCUUUAGUUUUAACUUUGUCACUUAUUUUUUUCUUCGUUAAUUAAUAUUUCGUUAAAUUAUAUACAAAAAAAACUGCAGAUACUCUACCUAGUUUUAUCGAAUAUUCACUUUAGUGCCAUUUAAUUUUAACUUUGUUAUUGAUUUAACGAAAAAUAUUAGUAAAAUAAAUGAUAAAAAGAGAAAAAUAAAACCACAAGGUACUAAAGUAAGAAAAUGUGAAAUCAUAAAGAGAUAUUUAAAGUUUACCCUAUAUAUAUAUAUAUAUAUAUAUAUAGUCCGGCUACUAUGCUAUUCAAUGAAAAACUUGUCACAUUCAUAUU